GACAGAGGGUGCGAACGUUGUUCGGAAUUACUGGGCGUAAAGCGUGUGGUAGGCGGCAAUGCAAGUCGGGCGUGAAAUCCCACGGCUCAACCGUGGAAGUGCACUCGAAACUGCAUAGCUAGAGUCCUGGAGAGGAAGGUGGAAUGCUUGGUGUAGAGGUGAAAUUCGUAGAUAUCAAGCGGAACACCGGUGGCGAAGGCGGCCUUCUGGACAGUGACGUGCACGCUGAGACGACGAAA
rnacentral:rRNA from 1 species